rnacentral:rRNA from 1 species
AUUGAACGCUGGCGGCAGGCCUAACACAUGCAAGUCGAGCGAGCGGCGUGCGUGUGAGAAAUGUAUGGGGCUCUGCCCGAUCGAUAGGGACAACUAAUGGAAACUGUGGCUAAUCCCGCAUACUAUCGGAUGAACCCCUGUGGGAUUCUCUAGUGGUUGGGGUAAAGGCUCACCUAGGCGACGAUCUCUAGCUGGUCUGAGAGGAUGAUCAGUCACACUGGAACUGAGACACGGCCCAGACUCCUAAGGGAGGAAGCAGUGGGGAAUAUUGUACAAUGGGCGCAAGCCUGAUGCAGCCAUGCCGCGUGUGUGAAUAAGGCCUUAGGGUUGUAAAGUACUUUAAGCGGGGAGGCGUUACCAGCAGAAGAAGCACCGGCGAACUCCGUGCCAGCAGCCGCGGUAAUAC